UGGGGAAUUUUGGACAAUGGGGGAAACCCUGAUCCAGCCAUCCCGCGUGUGCGAUGAAGGCCUUCGGGUUGUAAAGCACUUUUGGCAGGAAAGAAACGUCGUGGGUUAAUACCCCGCGAAACUGACGGUACCUGCAGAAUAAGCACCGGCUAACUACGUGCCAGCAGCCGCGGUAAUACGUAGGGUGCAAGCGUUAAUCGGAAUUACUGGGCGUAAAGCGUGCGCAGGCGGUUCGGAAAGAAAGAUGUGAAAUCCCAGAGCUUAACUUUGGAACUGCAUUUUUAACUACCGGGCUAGAGUGUGUCAGAGGGAGGUGGAAUUCCGCGUGUAGCAGUGAAAUGCGUAGAUAUGCGGAGGAACACCGAUGGCGAAGGCAGCCUCCUGGGAUAACACUGACGCUCAUGCACGAAAGCGU
rnacentral:rRNA from 1 species